rnacentral:lncRNA from 1 species
AAAUGUUUUUUUUUCUUUUUCUUUUUCAGCAGGUAUCAGUUGCAAACAGAUUUUUUACUUAACUACAGGUAUUCUGAGUACUUUUCAAUUGUUCUGACAAAAUACCAAAACCAUAAUUUUUGCAAGUAGAAGACAAAAAGAAAAGUGGGACUAAUGUGGACUUUUGAAACCUCAAAAGUCAUACUAGUGACAUACUGCCUCCAGCAUGCCCACACCUCAUAAUCCUUCCUGAACGAGUCCACCUUCUGAGGACCAAGCAUCCAAAUAUGUGAUCAUUCUCAAAGCUUGACAGCGGGCUUUGUGUCCACCUCCUAUUUUCAGUGCUGUAAUUUUGUCUAAUGUGAAAGUAUAUAGGAAUUUUGCAAGCUGAGAUUCUGUUAUACUUUCUGUAUUAGUCAGUGGCUUAUUGGUAUCUCAAGAAUUACCCUCUGGUAAAGGUAUCAGAUUGAAUAUUCUCAUCUCUCUCUCUCUCUCUCUCUCUCUCUCUCUCUCUCUCUCUCUCUCUCUCUCCCUCUCCAUUUCUUUAUCUGUUUCUCUUCAUCAUCUGUCAUCAUCCUCUAAAAGAAGGAUUAAAAUUCAUAAUUGACAAAUGAUAGAGACACAGUAACUAUAACAUAAUGGAAGCUGAAAGCGUAACCAAGGAUCCUGAAUCAUACGACAAACAACAACAACAAAAAAGAAUAGACACAAGUUACAGUGCAGAAUCCCCUGAGGAAUUAGUAAAUUAUUAACUUUGAAGUAUCAGGAAAUGAGGGGAAAUUUGAGAUUAUAGAAGGGAAAUUUGGUAAAACAAAACAAAACAAAAUGAAAAACUAGAUUCCUCAUGUUUCAAUUCCUUAGAUACUUUUCUUCCUUGAAAACAGAAUGAAGCUGCUUGAUGAUCAAGAUUAAAGAAUGGCUCCCUUGUUGACCAGAGAUACCCUUGACAUUAGUUUGCUUAUAGUGCCCAAUACCGUCAGUCAAGUUGUGACUCCCUAGAAAGAAUGAAAGAAUAUCCAUAUUUUGAAAGUAUCUAAGCAAUCGCAGAACAAGAGGCAUAAUAGAGUUCCAUUGUUGGCAAAAAUCCUUGGAGCCUCUCAUCAAUUUUUAGUCUCUGUAACUGUUGUAAAGGUAAGGCUCCACAGGCUUUCUGAGGUGAAUGUUCCUGUCGAAAUUGCAACAGAAAGAGAAGAAGAAAACUGAAAUCAAAAUUUCAGUACGAAAUUUUAAAAACU